CUUGGUGGUCCCAUCUGGAAAGUGUGAUGGGGAAUGCAGCCAGACGCCCCUGUGGCCCCUCCCAUCUGUGGGGUCCUGAGCGUCUGGCCCCGUGCUCACGGCCUUGAUGGGCCAUGGAGUAAUUGAUAGUAAGCGGUGGGCAUGUGCAGCCCUCCCUGCACCAGGGCCCUCGGGAGGGUGAACAGUUCACUUCACAGUAGGUCUCUGUGGCUUACCUGGAAUGGAGCUGGCUCCAAGAGCAAUUUCCCCUGGAUGAAACAAUCUCUGGAAUCCACCGUAUAUCAUUCACCAUGACGUCUUCUGUUUAAACAGCAGCAGCCGGCAGAGGGUGAGCGCUGAGGCCGUGCUGGGGGAGGGCCUGUGUCCCAGCCCCUUACCCCGGCCCCAUGGAAGGCCCCGCUGGGGGGAAAGCAGGCAUAUGGAACCCAUUUGGGAAAUUCUUUCUGCAGAAACCACUUUUUCCAGGGUCUCGCUCUGUUGCCCAGGCUGAGGUGCAGUGGUGUGAUCCCCGCUCACUGCAGCCUCCGCCUCCCGGGUUCCAGCGGUUCUCCUGCCAUAACCUCCUGAGUAGCUGGGACCACAGGCUUCCAUCGCCACACCUGGCUAAUUGUUUUGUGGUUUUAGUAGAGAUGAGUUUUGCCAUGUUGCCCAGGCUGCUCUCAAACUCCUGGCCUCAGGGGAUCCACGCACCUCGGCCUCCCGAAGUGUGGAGGUUGUAGGCAUGAGCCACCACGCCCAGCCUCUCCUUCUUCUUUCUUUCCUUUCACCUCCUUUUCCUUUUUUCAUUCUGUCUCCCUGUCAUUCUCUUUCUCCCCGAUUUUUCUCUUGGCCUGUUAUGGGGUUCAGGAGCCACACAAAACAUUUUCUUCUGUGCCCUUUCAUGGCCUGCCUUCCUGGCGGAGAGAAGGACCUGCUCUUCCAAAGCCUGUGGGUCCAUCUGAACGGCACCGUGCUUCUGAGUUUGGACUGAGCCAGAAGAGGCGUUGGUUCAUGCCGCAAACACGUAUUAAGCACUGACUCCAUGCUGGGGGCUGGAAAACAGGUGAAUCAAGUGUGGACCAGUCCGUCCGCUGGCCAGACAGAUACGAACGGGGACACAGCCUGCCGGGGGACGUCUCUGCCUCGGGCUCUCUGCGCCAGAGAGGGGACGCAUGGCCCUAAGGCAAGUGCACUCCCUGGUCUUGGAACUUCUUAUGAAGGCUGCCUGACUGGCACCUCCCGCCAUCCCUGUGAGGUGACGGGACAGGUGCUAAGCCUGCCAUUGACAGAUAAGAAAACCGCAGCCCCAGGCACAGAGGCACCAGCUGAGAGGUGAUGUCAGGACUGAGCGGUGACCCUGAGAGUCCAAAU
rnacentral:lncRNA from 1 species